rnacentral:rRNA from 1 species
ACCGUAUUCUGUGAGUUGCGAACGGGUGAGUAACGCGUAGGUAACCUGCCUGGUAGCGGGGGAUAACUAUUGGAAACGAUAGCUAAUACCGCAUAAGAACAUUUACUGCAUGGUAGAUGUUUAAAAGGUGCAAAUGCAUCACUACCAGAUGGACCUGCGUUGUAUUAGCUAGUAGGUGAGGUAACGGCUCACCUAGGCGACGAUACAUAGCCGACCUGAGAGGGUGAUCGGCCACACUGGGACUGAGACACGGCCCAGACUCCUACGGGAGGCAGCAGUAGGGAAUCUUCGGCAAUGGGGGGAACCCUGACCGAGCAACGCCGCGUGAGUGAAGAGGGUUUUCGGAUCGUAAAGCUCUGUUGUUAAGGAAGAACGAGUGUGAGAAUGGAAAGUUCAUACUGUGACGGUACUUAACCAGAAAGGGACGGCUAACUACGUGCCAGCAGCCGCGGUAAUACGUAGGUCCCGAGCGUUGUCCGGAUUUAUUGGGCGUAAAGCGAGCGCAGGCGGUUAGAUAAGUCUGAAGUUAAAGGCAGUGGCUCAACCAUUGUAGGCUUUGGAAACUGUUUAACUUGAGUGCAGAAGAGGAGAGUGGAAUUCCAUGUGUAGCGGUGAAAUGCGUAGAUAUAUGGAGGAACACCAGUGGCGAAGGCGACUCUCUGGUCUGUAACUGACGCUGAGGCUCGAAAGCGUGGGUAGCAAACAGGAUUAGAUACCCUGGUAGUCCACGCCGUAAACGAUGA